GACGAACGCUGGCGGCGCGCCUAACACAUGCAAGUCGAACGGAGCGGCGCGAGGCUUGCUUUUCUUAGCUUAGUGGCGCACGGGUGAGUAACGCGUGAGUAACCUGCCCUGGAUUGGGGGACAACAGUUGGAAACGACUGCUAAUACCGCAUAAGCGCACGAUCCGUCCUCGGAUUGAGGGAAAAGGAUUUAUUCGCUUCAGGAUGGACUCGCGUCCAAUUAGCUAGUUGGUGAGGUAACGACCCACCAAGGCGACGAGUGGUAGCCGGACUGAGAGGGUGAACGGCCACAUUGGGACUGAGACCCGGCCCAGACGCCUACGGGAGGCAGCAGUGGGGGAUAUAGCACAAUGGGGGAAACCCUGAUGCAGCGACGCCGCGUGGAGGAAGAAGGUUUUCGGAUUGUAAACUCCUGUCGUUAGGGACGAUAAUGACGGUACCUAACAAGAAAGCACCGGCUAACUACGUG
rnacentral:rRNA from 1 species